UACAGAGGUCUCAAGCGUUGUUCGGAUUCAUUGGGCGUAAAGGGUGCGUAGGUGGGCAAGUAAGUCAGUGGUGAAAUCUCCGGGCUUAACCCGGAAACUGCCAUUGAUACUAUUUGUCUUGAAUACUGUAGAGGUCAGCGGAAUAUGUCAUGUAGCGGUGAAAUGCUUAGAUAUGACAUAGAACACCAAUUGCGAAGGCAGCUGGCUACACAAAUAUUGACACUGAGGCACGAAAGCGUGGGGAUCAAACAGG
rnacentral:rRNA from 1 species